GAACGACUCUCGGCAACGGAUAUCUCGGCUCUCGCAUCGAUGAAGAACGUAGCGAAAUGCGAUACUUGGUGUGAAUUGCAGAAUCCCGUGAACCAUCGAGUCUUUGAACGCAAGUUGCGCCCGACGCCUUCUGGCCGAG
rnacentral:rRNA from 1 species